CAACUUGUUGCCUCCCUAAGAAAAUACGGGCAUGCGGCGAUCGUGUAUAGCGUCUAGCCUAUUGGGCUUCACGUUGCGAAGAUAUUGGAUGCUCUUCAUUCGGCCUGCCAUCCCCGUUGUUCCUUUCACUUUUUGUAAAUGGAGAAUGCGCAGUUGAACCGCAAAUGAAAUCCGUUGGUGACACUGCAAAUAUGGGAAAAGUGAACAUAUCGUGUAGCUAUGGCGGACUGGUGGGUGUAUAGCUAAGUCACAUCGGUCAUGUUUGUCGUUUUGAGAGACUCUGUAGGGAACAAUGAACUUCAUAUAGCACAGGUACCCAUCGAUCUCUACGGAUGUGUCUUUGUUUAUUCUGACAGAAACGAUUUUCCCAAUGGCCAACACCACUUUCCGCGCCAGAAGUUGUAACAACUGAAUCCCGAAAAAGUGCUGUCAUGCGUGAACUCUCCAUUUUCAACUGUAUUUCUAGUUCUAACAUUUUUCUUUUGAUUUUGAUUUGUUGUUUGUGCACCUAUCUACAACCUUUCUCUUACUUUUUCCCUAUUUUCAUUAAACAGUGUUGUGAAUAGAUUUGCUAAGCUUUUAGAACAGGCCACAUAUUCUCAUUGUUUUGUAUAACAUCAGCAACAAACGAUUUUGAUGAACCAUCAGAAUUAAUAUGAAACAUUUGAGAAUACAUCAUUAAAUGCAACAAAAAAUCACAGUUUAUUUGUCGCUGGAAACCAUGUGCCGCAUGAGGUUAGUCAUAAAUCUAUCAAUCUUCUUCAAAUCCUGCUGAACCUCUGUUCUGUAUUGUAAACACUAUUUUAAAAAUAUGAAAAAAAUAGACCAUUAGGAUGUAUCUUGUGGAAAAUUGACAGUUUUGAAUUCAUUACCACGGCAUCAUCAGUAAAUUUCAGCACCAAAGCACCAUCGAUAUGUCUAUACUUCAUUGUGUAACGAACCUAUGAAUAAAAGACAAGUAUGCAA